CUGGAAGCAAAAUUGCUGUUCAGAAGAAAUGAACAUUUUAAGGCUCUUGAUAUCUAUUGCCACAUACUACUUAGAAACAUGCUGAUUUACAGAAGGCAGCUGGAGCUGGAGUUAACUAACGACUCAGUUGGACAAGGUCUCCAGAAUGGUUCCUUCAUUCACAUACUGGGCACCUCAUCUGGAAUGGCUAGAACAGCUGGAGGCUGGCUGGGCGUGUGUCUCCAUGCAGCCUCUCCAUUUGGAUAGGUUGGGCUUCUCUCACCGUGGUGGUCUCAGAAUAGUCCUACCUCUUAACUGGUAGGUGGCUUCUCCUAGAGAACACACAGCAAGAGACCAGGGCUGGGAACUGCAAGGCUUCUGGUGAACUAGCCUGGAAGUCACACAGCAUCACUUCUACCACAUUCUGUUGCUCACACCCACAGGCACAGCCCAGAUAUAAGAGGAAGAAGCGGACAUAUAGGGAUAGGAAUACCAGAAAGUGUUCUUCAUCAGGGUUGUCUUUGGAAACUAGCUACCACAACAUGAUAUCCAAGUGCAUGAUGACCAAACUUAUCUUGCUGAGCUCUGUAUGAACUGGUUCAGGAGUACAACUCACAUGGCAAUUUGCACAUGACACGUGCUGCCUACUGGUCAUAUAGAUUGGAUUCAAGCAUUACCACAAACGGUUUGAGAAUUCUAACCUCUUAAUCUCUGCUUCUGCCCAAUCUGUCCUUAUUUCUACAACUACACUCAACAUUGGUUUUCAACCUCAGUAUAUUCCUUUGAUUCUCACAUAUUAAAUUAACUUUUUCUUCAGCAA